CAUUGCUUCCCACCACAGACAUUUCAGGUUGUUGACCCUACUCUGACUGGAGGUACAUUGCUUCCCACCACAGACAUUUCAGGUUGUUGGCCCUACU